UGCCAGCAGCCGCGGUAAGACGGAGGGUGCUAGCGUUGUUCGGAAUCACUGGGCGUAAAGGGCGCGUAGGCGGCUUGGUCAGUCAGAUGUGAAAGCCCAGGGCUCAACUCUGGAACUGCAUUUGAUACUUCCAAGCUAGAGGUCGAAAGAGGAGAGUGGAAUACCCAGUGUAGAGGUGAAAUUCGUAGAUAUUGGGUGGAACACCAGUGGCGAAAGCGGCUCUCUGGUUCGAUUCUGACGCUGAGGCGCGAAAGCGUGGGGAGCAAACAGGAUUAGAUA
rnacentral:rRNA from 1 species